UACGUAGGGUGCAAGCGUUGUCCGGAAUUAUUGGGCGUAAAGAGCUCGUAGGCGGUUUGUCGCGUCUGCUGUGAAAACUCGGGGCUCAACCCCGAGCUUGCAGUGGGUACGGGGCAGACUAGAGUGCGGUAGGGGGAGACUGGAAUUCCUGGUGUAGCGGUGGAAUGCGCAGAUAUCAGGAGGAACACCGGUGGCGAAGGCGGGUCUCUGGGCCGUAACUGGACGCUGAGGAGCGAAAGCAUGGGGAGCGAACAGGA
rnacentral:rRNA from 1 species